CAGUCGCCACGGGAAUACGUAGGUGGCAAGCGUUGUCCGGAAUUAUUGGGCGUAAAGGGCUCGCAGGCGGUUUCUUAAGUCUGAUGUGAAAGCCCCCGGCUCAACCGGGGAGGGUCAUUGGAAACUGGGAAACUUGAGUGCAGAAGAGGAGAGUGGAAUUCCACGUGUAGCGGUGAAAUGCGUAGAGAUGUGGAGGAACACCUGUGGCGAAGGCGACUCUCUGGUCUGUAACUGACGCUGAGGAGCGAAAGCGUGGGGAGCGAACAGGAUUAGAUACCCCAGUAGUCCCUGUCUCUUAUAC
rnacentral:rRNA from 1 species